rnacentral:rRNA from 1 species
UACGAAGGGGGCUAGCGUUGUUCGGAAUCACUGGGCGUAAAGCGCACGUAGGCGGAUCUUUAAGUCAGGGGUGAAAUCCCGAGGCUCAACCUCGGAACUGCCUUUGAUACUGGGGGACCUCGAGUCCGGGGAGAGGUGAGUGGAACUGCGAGUGUAGAGGUGAAAUUCGUAGAUAUUCGCAAGAACACCAGUGGCGAAGGCGGCUCACUGGCCCGGAACUGACGCUGAGGUGCGAAAAGCGUGGGGGAGCAAACAGG